GAACUCAGCAGCAGAGCUUCUGCCUUGCAUGCAGAAGGCCUUGGAUUCAAUCUCCAGCAUCUCCA